AAAGCAUGAUGAGGGCAUUGAGACCAAUAGCCCUUGAAUUUCUCUCAUGCUUCACUUAAGCUCUCAAGAUUCUUCUGUUGAAACCCAGAGAUUUCAUUCCUGAUAUU